GCGUCGCGAAUCUCGUCUCCCUCGACGUCCGCCAUGUUCAACCGGCGCGCCGCCGUGACUGGAGCGCGCGUGCAGGACGAGCUGAGCUAUAACGCUGCAUUCGACUUCCUACUCGUAAUAAGACGUCAACUGGGAAAUCCGACUCGGUGAAUCGACGGACCAACUGAGCGGAUGUUUCUCCAAGACCACUACUCAACAUUCAAAUGGCAGAUAGAGCAUCCAUAUGCUUGUUCAGGUGCAAGGUGUGGAGAAGGACCUUGGCCCUAUUCAAGAUGAACUAUUAAAGUAUGUGUUAGACAAAAAUCAACCAUCAGAAGAACUGAUCAUAAAGCAAGGCCAUUUUUGCCUCACACGAAAAGACUUCUGGAGCCUGGGUUUCAGCCAGUGUAUGGAAUCUAACGUGAGUAUGUUUAGUGUCUUAAUUUACUGCACAAAAAAACUAAUUCCUAGAUAAUGCAUAAUGUUAUGGCAGCUUUCACAGGGAUGUAAUUGUUCUGCGAUUCAUUUCGGGUCAGAAAUGCCUGCUCAAGAUUGUGGAAGAAGCUUCACGAAGGCUUGUACUUUAUAAUCUUCUAUCUUCUUUAAAAAGAAUUUAUUUUGAUGUGUGCAUUUUUAAUAACUUAUAAUGUUCUUUUCAUAAGGGAAAAAAUGUUCAGAUUGUGGACCUCUCUGCUGUUCCCACCUGGAAAGACAGAAAUGUGGACCCAGUGCAUUGUUUGCCUGAAUGUCAGACACAACCUUCACUGACCCAGGAUCCUGGACGGAAAAAACAGGAAGAGACCUUGAGGUAUGUUUAAAAUGAUGGAAUUGUGUCAAGCUAGUUUAAACUUCAUCUCUCUCUACCACAGAUUUAACUGUGUUAAAUAAAUAAAAAAAGACAAAAUACAGUAAUUUCCCAGCAUUAACAUCAUUUAUGUUGUAAUGGGUUUCUAUGUGAGUGUGUGUACCUAGUGUGUGUUUGUGUGUGUUUGUGUGUGUGUGUGUGUGUGUGUAUGUGUGUGUGCACAUGUGUGGGUAUGUGAGUUUUUUCUGCAGGGGAUAUUCUGUAGUCUCAGCCCUUUUGGUUGGGUAUGCAUAUUUUCUGGAUUGUGUCAGAUUUUGUACACACACAUAUAUAUCUGUAUUACAUGGAGUCUAGCAAUGGAAUUUUUUAAUUUAUUUAAUUUUAUUUGCCAAUUUAAUUUGUGCCAAUUUAAUUGAUUACUCAAUUUAAUCAAUAUAAUUUAAUUGAUAUAUUUUAACAAGAGGUUGUGGUGAAGUACACGGAAAGCUUUACUGCCUGUCUCUGGUUGGACCUUGUACACUGGGCCAGCUCUAAGGCGUUCCACAAGGCGUUCUACUUCCUUCUCCCAAUGAGUGCACAAUUUCCCUGGACAGAUUCCUAACAAGCACUCGGUCAUCUGGUUGAAGGAUGGCGCCUCUUACGGCUGUUGCUCUUACGGGUGUUUCUUGCCUUUGACUGCAGACUUCUGGCUGUUUGCUGCCACAAUCUGAUAGGCUUGUCUCAUUCUUGUUUCCAACUUGUGUGCAAAGACUUGGGGGUGGAAUUCCCAGGUUCCUUUGUCAGGUUGAACAGUAAGCUGACAGGCAAACGUGGAGCAUCAAGAAAAAUGAAUCUCAUAGUUCAAUUCAAACACAUUAUAUUUAAUGUGUGUCCUUUUUUGUAAACACAAUAUAUUGAAUAUUUGGAUUAGGGGUUUAUAACAUAGUCCUGGAAUACAAGGCUGCUGUUAGAAGUGCCAUACAAAUUAAUUGCAUUUUGACCAGAAGCAUUUUAUGGAUCAAACUCUUUUUGCCAUCGUAGUUCAGUACACUGUUAACCCAAAAGUUGUUUCUGUAUGAAAAAGGAGUUUUAUUGCAUUACUUAAACAGUAUAUGAGUCAAUUACUAGGCAUACUUGUUUUCGUAAGUUUUGAAAACUAGCCUGGGCUCGUUUGCUGAAGGAUACUGAUAAAUUUGCACUUUUUUCCUUAUUUUCAUAGAGUAUGAAUAUUUGGUAUUUUCUGCAAUUCACAUUCUCCUGGGACAUUUAGAUUUUCUGUCUGAAAACACGCUGUUCACAUUCUUCUGUUUUUGCCAGGUGCGGAUUAUGGUAUGCAGUUAAGAGGACGCCAUUUUCUCUCACAGACUGUUGAGUUGAGUUUUCUAUGCUCAACGAAUUAUUUAACACUGUAGAAACAUUUCCAGGUAGAAAAUGGGAAAGUGUAAAUUUGAGGUUGGCUGCAGUGCAUUGGAACUUUUGAAAAUAACAUUAUUAUUAGUUUUCACAGCAUUUAGCUGCUAUCAAUUAUUAAUUAUAUAAUUAUCAAUUAUAGCACUAGAAUUCAGAUUUUUUUUUAUUAAACCUUUUUGGCCCUAAAGCUAAUGUGCCCUAGAGUCAAUAAACUGCUCUACUUCAGAAAAAAAAUCAACGCCCAGUUUUAAUGUUAAUGUUAUUACCCUACUAUUUUUUGUUCAGACACCUUUUGUACUGUCCUGCUAUCUGUGAGAAAAGAGGACAGCUUUUCAUUAUAAGCUAAAACAUGGAACAUAUUCAAGAACUGAGCCCUUUCCCCGCCUCCAUCAGGAAUGCCUGGAUACAUUCAUGUCCCUCAGUGCACUCCAUACUCAUUUAUCCCACUUUCACACCACAACCAUGGAUCAACUGUAAACAAUACACUCGCUAAUUAAGUUUUGCUGUUUGUCAUGUGAGUCUCUUGAGCCCUGCUCUGAAACUGAAUACUUUGCACAUCUGCGGAAUACACACUUAAAAGUAAAGUUGAUUGUCCAUAUAAAGACUGUCAUUUUCAGAGUAGUGUAUAUUCUACAUUCAUUGCACACAAAAAGUAAAACACACACAGUGAGAGCAUACUUGGAAGAAUUUCAAGCCUGAAAUCACUGUCAGUAUCACCAGUGAUGUUUGUGAUACAGUAGCCCAUGAUGGUCAGGGUGAACAAGAGCAGAUGACAACGUCUGACACAAAGGACCCAACAAGUAAGGAGUUGUGGUAAUUGUCUUGGUAGCAGAACACACUCCUGUUUUAAAGAACAAGGCUCAUCAUCUUGCUGUGAGAGAUGGAAGAACAGUCUGAAAUUCAGAAUGGGUAAUUACAGAACAAAAAUCCGCCGGCUGGUUCGACUCGAUGUCACAGUUACGGUGAUAAACGUGGAAAAAAAUGUUUUUGUCAUUUAUUAAUAAAAUCCCUGUUUUCAUCUUAUCCCUGCAUUUGGUCUGGA